rnacentral:rRNA from 1 species
CCUACGGGAGGCAGCAGUGGGGAAUAUUGCACAAUGGGGGAAACCCUGAUGCAGCGACGCCGCGUGAGUGAAGAAGCACCUCGGCACGUAAAGCUCUAUCAGCAGGGAAGAAAAUGACGGUACCUGACUAAGAAGCCCCGGCUAACUACGUGCCAGCAGCCGCGGUAAUACGUAGGGGGCAAGCGUUAUCCGGAUUUACUGGGUGUAAAGGGAGCGUAGACGGCAGUGCAAGUCUGGAGUGAAAUCCCAUGGCUUAACCAUGGGACUGCUUUUGAAACUGGGCGGCUAGAGUGCAGGAGAGGUAGGCGGAAUUCCUGGUGUAGCGGUGAAAUGCGUAGAUAUUAGGAGGAACACCGGUGGCGAAGGCGGCUUGCUGGACUGUAACUGACGUUGAGGCUCGAAAGCGUGGGGAGCAAACAGGAUUGGAUACCCUAGUAGUC